rnacentral:tRNA from 1 species
GCAGGUGUGGCGGAAUGGUAGACGCAUACGGUUCAGAACUGUAUGGGCUUUGCCCGUAGAGGUUCAACUCCUCUCACCUGCA